rnacentral:rRNA from 1 species
GACGAACGCUGGCGGCGUGCUUAACACAUGCAAGUCGAACGGUAAGGCCCUUCGGGGUACACGAGUGGCGAACGGGUGAGUAACACGUGGGUGAUCUACCCUGCACUUCGGGAUAAGCCUGGGAAACUGGGUCUAAUACCGGAUAGGCCUCCUGGCUCCAUGGUUGGGGGUGGAAAGCUUUUGCGAUGUGGGAUGGGCCCGCGGCCUAUCAGCUUGUUGGUGGGGUAAUGGCCUACCAAGGCGACGACGGGUAGCCGGCCUGAGAGGGUGACCGGUCACACUGGGACUGAGAUACGGCCCAGACUCCUACGGGAGGCAGCAGUGGGGAAUAUUGCACAAUGGGCGCAAGCCUGAUGCAGCGACGCCGCGUGAGGGAUGACGGCCUUCGGGUUGUAAACCUCUUUCAGCUAUGACGAAGCGCAAGUGACGGUAGUAGCAGAAGAAGGACCGGCCAACUACGUGCCAGCAGCCGCCGUAA